UGAAGAUGCCUUUUAUGUUCC
ensembl:piRNA 21ur-232 ncRNA